GACGAACGCUGGCGGCGUGCCUAAUACAUGCAAGUCGAACGAGAGCGACCGGUGCUUGCACUGGUCAAUCUAGUGGCGAACGGGUGAGUAACACGUGGGUAACCUGCCCAUCAGAGGGGGAUAACAUCCGGAAACGGAUGCUAAAACCGCAUAGGUCUUCGAGCCGCAUGGCUUGAAGAGGAAAAGAGGCGCAAGCUUCUGCUGUUGGAUGGACCCGCGGUGCAUUAGCUAGUUGGUGAGGUAACGGCUCACCAAGGCCGUGAUGCAUAGCCGACCUGAGAGGGUGAUCGGCCACAUUGGGACUGAGACACGGCCCAAACUCCUACGGGAGGCAGCAGUAGGGAAUCUUCCGCAAUGGACGCAAGUCUGACGGAGCAACGCCGCGUGAGUGAAGAAGGUUUUCGGAUCGUAAAACUCUGUUGUUAGAGAAGAACAAGUGCUAGAGUAACUGUUAGCGCCUUGACGGUAUCUAACCAGAAAGCCACGGCUAACUACGUG
rnacentral:rRNA from 1 species